CUCCCCAAUCUCCUUAAUCUCCUUCUCCUCAAACACACCCUUAGUAACCAUAUAGCAAGUAUUUCACCUAGCAGUGGUUCCCUUAGGGUGUGUUUGAGGAGAAGGGGAUUGGGGAGAUUGGGAAG
rnacentral:pre_miRNA from 1 species